rnacentral:rRNA from 1 species
UACAGAGGUCUCAAGCGUUGUUCGGAAUCACUGGGCGUAAAGGGUGCGUAGGCGGCGUGGAAAGUCAGAUGUGAAAUCCGGAGGCUCAACCUCCGAAUUGCAUCCGAUACUACCGUGCUCGAGAGCUGGUAGAGGGAUCUGGAAUUCUCGGUGUAAGCAGUGAAAUGCGUAGAUAUCGAGAAGAACGCUCGUGGCGAAAGCGAGAUCCUGGGCAGCCUCUGACGCUGAGGCACGAAGGCCAGGGGAGCAAACGGG